GAUGAACGCUAGCUACAGGCUUAACACAUGCAAGUCGAGGGGCAGCAUGAUUGAAGCUUGCUUCAAUCGAUGGCGACCGGCGCACGGGUGAGUAACACGUAUCCAACCUGCCGAUAACUCGGGGAUAGCCUUUCGAAAGAAAGAUUAAUACCCGAUAGCAUAGUUUUUCCGCAUGGUUUCACUAUUAAAGAAUUUCGGUUAUCGAUGGGGAUGCGUUCCAUUAGAUAGUAGGCGGGGUAACGGCCCACCUAGUCUUCGAUGGAUAGGGGUUCUGAGAGGAAGGUCCCCCACAUUGGAACUGAGACACGGUCCAAACUCCUACGGGAGGCAGCAGUGAGGAAUAUUGGUCAAUGGACGAGAGUCUGAACCAGCCAAGUAGCGUGAAGGAUGAAGGUUCUAUGGAUUGUAAACUUCUUUUAUACGGGAAUAAACGAAUCCACGUGUGGAUUUUUGCAUGUACCGUAUGAAUAAGGAUCGGCUAACUCCGUGCCAGCAGCCGCGGUAAUACGGAGGAUCCGAGCGUUAUCCGGAUUUAUUGGGUUUAAAGGGAGCGUAGAUGGGUUGUUAAGUCAGUUGUGAAAGUUUGCGGCUCAACCGUAAAAUUGCAAUUGAUACUGGCAGUCUUGAGUACAGUUGAGGUAGGCGGAAUUCGUGGUGUAGCGGUGAAAUGCUUAGAUAUCACGAAGAACUCCGAUUGCGAAGGCAGCUUACUAACCUGUAACUGACAUUGAUGCGCGAAAGUGUGGGUAUCAAACAGGAUUAGAUACCCUGGUAGUCCACACGGUAAACGAUGAAUACUCGCUGUAGGCGAUAUACGGUCUGCGGCCAAGCGAAAGCAUUAAGUAUUCCACCUGGGGAGUACGCCGGCAACGGUGAAACUCAAAGGAAUUGACGGGGGCCCGCACAAGCGGAGGAACAUGUGGUUUAAUUCGAUGAUACGCGAAGAACCUUACCAGGGCUUGACAUCCUACUAACGAAGCAGAGAUGCAUUAGGUGCCCUUCGGGGAAAGUAGAGACAGGUGGUGCAUGGUUGUCGUCAGCUCGUGUCGUGAGAUGUUGGGUUAAGUCCCGCAACGAGCGCAACCCUUAUUGUUAGUUGCUACGCAAGAGCACUCUAGCGAGACUGCCGUUGACAAAACGGAGGAAGGCGGGGACGACGUCAAAUCAUCAUGCCCCUUAUGUCUUGGGCUACACACGUACUACAAUGGUGGUAAACAGAGGGAGGCAAGACCGCGAGGUGGAGCAAAUCCCUAAAAGCCAUCCCAGUUCGGAUUGCAGGCUGAAACCCGCCUGUAUGAAGUUGGAAUCGCUAGUAAUCGCGGAUCAGCAUGCCGCGGUGAAUACGUUUCCCGGGCCCU
rnacentral:rRNA from 1 species